GAUGAACGCUGGCGGCGUGCCUAAUACAUGCCAGUCGAGCGAACAGAUAAGGAGCUUGCUCCUUUGACGUUAGCGGCGGACGGGUGAGUAACACGUGGAUAACCUACCUAUAAGACUGGGAUAACUUCGGGAAACCGGAGCUAAUACCGGAUAACAUAUUGAACCGCAUGGUUCAAUAGUGAAAGGCGGCUUUGCUGUCACUUAUAGAUGGAUCCGCGCCGUAUUAGCUAGUUGGUAAGGUAACGGCUUACCAAGGCAACGAUACGUAGCCGACCUGAGAGGGUGAUCGGCCACACUGGAACUGAGACACGGUCCAGACUCCUACGGGAGGCAGCAGUAGGGAAUCUUCCGCAAUGGGCGAAGGCCUGACGGAGCAACGCCGCGUGAGUGAUGAAGGUCUUCGGAUCGUAAAACUCUGUUAUCAGGGAAGAACAAAUGUGUAAGUAACUGUGCACAUCUUGACGGUACCUGAUCAGAAAGCCACGGCUAACUACGUG
rnacentral:rRNA from 1 species